GUUUAGAGCUCAGCCUGGCUUCUGGCAGCGACACAGGAGCAGUGGUGUUCUUGAGCUCAUGGGCGUUGGUACCCGCCCUUCCCACAGGUGCAUUUUGAUGCACCUGCGGAUCAUCAGCGGGAGCAUAAGAGGAGCGGAUUCCCGGCAGCUCACUGCCAGAGAGUUGUCACCUUUUGCACCUGACGUCCUGAGGCUCCACACGUAGUGCGAGGUCUCCUGCCCGAACCGAGAAUUUGGAGAAUCCCUCUCUAUUUCGUUCCGCUGUGUUCCCUGAGCGAGUUACUCCAGCAACCCGAUCAACCUCCCGGACCAGACACUCCUGUAUCAUCCAUCAGUUAAUCUUUUGCAAAUAAAUCCUUAAACGGUUCUCCUGAGAGUUUCUUUGCAUGAGGGUUCGGAGAGUUCAAAACAACAUGACAGAACACUCUGGCCACUCGACCCCAGCAGACGCUCUCAGGCAGACCAUAGCGGAACAACAUUCUCUAAUAUUCAUGAGGUGGUUCUCCGUGCUCUGAGUGAAAGGCAGAUAGAAACAAACCAGCGUUUGGAUCAUCUAGCCAGAUUGCUCCAAGACCUUUAGCCUGCACAGUCACCCCAAACUACGGAGGAAGCUGAGGCUUCUGCACCCGUCAUACAGCAGAUAAGUCCAACUCAUGGCGUCAGAGCCCCCACUCCUGAAAAACUUUCUGGUGAGGAAUGAGGCUGUGGAGGAUUUCUACUCCAGUGCUUUCUGUCUUUCAACCGAUCCCCUCAAGCCUACCCCCAUGAUGAGGCUAAGAUCUCUUUUGU